UACGUAGGGUGCAAGCGUUGUCCGGAAUUAUUGGGCGUAAAGAGCUCGUAGGCGGUCUGUCGCGUCGGCUGUGAAAUCCCGAGGCUCAACCUCGGGUCUGCAGUCGAUACGGGCAAACUGGAGUGUUGCAGGGGAGACUGGAAUUCCUGGUGUAGCGGUGAAAUGCGUAGAUAUCUGGAGGAAUACCGGUGGCGAAGGCGGCAUCCUGGACCGGCAUUGACGCUGAGGAGCGAAAAGCUAGGGGGAGCAAACGGGG
rnacentral:rRNA from 1 species